AACGAACGCUGGCGGCAGGCCUAACACAUGCAAGUCGAGCGGCAGCGGGAAAGUAGCUUGCUACUUUUGCCGGCGAGCGGCGGACGGGUGAGUAAUGCCUGGGAAAUUGCCCAGUCGAGGGGGAUAACAGUUGGAAACGACUGCUAAUACCGCAUACGCCCUACGGGGGAAAGCAGGGGACCUUCGGGCCUUGCGCGAUUGGAUAUGCCCAGGUGGGAUUAGCUAGUUGGUGAGGUAAUGGCUCACCAAGGCGACGAUCCCUAGCUGGUCUGAGAGGAUGAUCAGCCACACUGGAACUGAGACACGGUCCAGACUCCUACGGGAGGCAGCAGUGGGGAAUAUUGCACAAUGGGGGAAACCCUGAUGCAGCCAUGCCGCGUGUGUGAAGAAGGCCUUCGGGUUGUAAAGCACUUUCAGCGAGGAGGAAAGGUUGAUGCCUAAUACGUAUCAACUGUGACGUUACUCGCAGAAGAAGCACCGGCUAACUCCGUGCCAGCCGCCGCAGUAACAC
rnacentral:rRNA from 1 species